rnacentral:rRNA from 1 species
UACGUAGGGUGCGAGCGUUAAUCGGAAUUACUGGGCGUAAAGUGUGCGCAGGUGGCCGCGCAAGUCGAGUGUGAAAUCCCCGAGCUUAACUUGGGAAUUGCGCUCGAAACUACGUGGCUCGAGUGUGGCAGAGGAAGGUGGAAUUCCACGUGUAGCGGUGAAAUGCGUAGAGAUGUGGAGGAACACCCAGGGGGAAACCAGUGGACUGGCACGGUGCUGACGCUCAGGUGCGAAAGCGUGGGGAGCGAACCGG